rnacentral:rRNA from 1 species
GAGUUUGAUCAUGGCUCAGGACGAACGCUGGCGGCGUGCCUAACACAUGCAAGUCGAACGAGGUAGCAAUACCUAGUGGCGGACGGGUGAGUAACGCGUAGGUAACCUGCCUCAUAGUGGGGGAUACCCAGCCGAAAGGUUGGCUAAUACCGCAUACCUUCCAUCUUUGGAAUAGGAUGGAAGAAAGAUUUAUCGCUAUGAGAGGGGCCUGCGUCCGAUUAGCUAGUUGGUGGUGUAAUGGACCACCAAGGCGACGAUCGGUAACUGGUCUGAGAGGACGAUCAGUCACACUGGAACUGAGACACGGUCCAGACUCCUACGGGAGGCAGCAGUGGGGAAUUUUCCGCAAUGGGCGAAAGCCUGACGGAGCAACGCCGCGUGGAUGAUGAAGUCUUUCGGGACGUAAAAUCCUUUCAGCAGGGACGAAGCGAGUGACGGUACCUGCAGAAGAAGCAUCGGCUAACUACGUGCCAGCAGCCGCGGUAAUACGUAGGAUGCAAGCGUUGUCCGGAAUCAUUGGGCGUAAAGCGAACGUAGGCGGUUUGUUAAGUCUGUGCUUAAAGACCGGGGCUCAACCCCGGGAAUGGCAUGGAUACUGGCAGACUGGAGGAUGUUAGAGGAAAGUGGAAUUCCUAGUGUAGCGGUGAAAUGCGUAGAUAUUAGGAGGAACACCAGUGGCGAAAGCGACUUUCUGGGACAUUCCUGACGCUGAGGUUCGAAAGCUCGGGGAGCAAACAGGAUUAGAUACCCUGGUAGUCCGAGCCGUAAACGAUGGAUACUAGGUGCUGAGGGUAUCGACCCCCUCAGUGCCGUAGCUAACGCGUUAAGUAUCCCGCCUGGGGAGUACGGUCGCAAGACUG